UGCCUGCUCUUGAACUGAAAAGCAUUAGGCUUGGCAUCACAUCGCUAGCAGAAAGAAGGUCAACUUGUGAGGUCUUGUAGAAGUUAGGGUCAACCAAUAAAUUAUUUGGAAGAUCUUUGAAUGAAGAAGUCGGAAUAGGGUGACUUGGCAGAUUCUCCGAAAGUUUAGGGACGACGAAGGCAGCAAUUGUUAAUUCAAAAUUGUGGUCAAAUUGCGAAGAGAGAAUGAAAGUGAGCCGUGUAUAUGAAACGCCCUGUUUUCUCUUUGAACGACGUGAGAAAAUAAGUAACCGGCGUCGGCGUUAAAUAUGAUUGGCUGAGUGGAGUUCGAAUAGGUAUGUGGGUGCACUCACAUUCACAUACAUAUGCAAAUUCCAUUCAGCGAUGUAAACAAAUGCGAUGGAAAAACCAGUUGCCGGCUUGCAAGUGGAUUAUAAGUUUGGGAUGAAGUCAGUCUUAAAAGUGAUGUCGGCAAAUUAAGAUCCGCAAACGUCCACCCCCUCCCCUCCCGUUAAAAGUGAAAAACCAAUAAGUACAAAAUGCAGUAUUUCUAUUUAGUCGGAACAAUAUUUAUGUUAAAAUUUGUUCACCUUUAUGAGCCAGAUUUGUAAAAUAUUAUGCUAUACAAAAUUUGCAUUAAAGCCUAAAACUUCGGGCCGGCAACGCGGACCGGGCCAGCUAGUUAUUAAAUAAAGUGAAUUGUCGGUGAAUAUGUUUGGUGCAACAAUACAUAUCUUCAACCGAUUUUGUUUGGACAUAAAAUUAAGUAAUAAUUAUUCAGCAUCAAAUUUGACCGCAGAUAUCGAAUCACAAUCACAAUACAUCGUCCGACGUUUACCAAACGCUUAAUGAUGACCAUUUAUGUUUAAGUCAGAAUAGUUCAGUUAACAGACAUGCUUAUCCUAGUAUUCCUACAACAGAGGUAUAUUGAA